AUUUUGUGUUUUUUUGGAAUACAGGGGAACGGCUAUUGGAUUCCAUACUGUACAGUGGGCCUGAUAUUCCUUUUUAUAAUAUUCUGCGGUGGACCAACUGGAGUGAUGCCUCCCUUCAGUCAUGAGAUAUUCGUACAGACCUACCGGCCGGCCGCCUUCGUCUUCUCCGGGAUACUCAGGUGGUUGGGAUUCUUCAUAAUGGGAAUGAUCUUUCCCUUCCUGCUUGCAUCUUUGAAGUCCUUCAGUUUUUUGCUGUUUGCCAGUGUCUGUCUGUUGGGGGCGCUGUUUGUCUUUUUCCUGGUGCCCGAAACGAAGGGCAAAACUCUCCUUGAAAUAUCAGAGGAGUUUAACAAGAUCCACAUAUACAGGCCUUCACUGAGUAAGGACGUGGUUUUGGAGACGAGGCUAUAAAACAAGCCGUCUGUUUGCUUUGUGCCAAAACUGCAGAAGCAGGUCUUGUGAAAGGGUUUGGAUCUCUUAAAAAUUCAUACUUUAAAUGGUAUUCUUUGCACGUUCCCAUGGCAACAAGAACAAGAAAGCCACUCAUUUUUAAGUUCCUGGCCAUUUAUCCCUGACUUUCCGGUUCAAGUUUAACUGGAAGCAAAUUUUGAAACAUUUCAGCUGUUCGGCACAUUGCGCCUUUCUGUGAAUGCAGUCUGUUUGGUUUUAUUUAGUACAGAUUAAACAUUUGUGCCAGCCUGAUGCCCUAAGUAUUUAAUUGGCUGCAAAUUAGAUCUUUAUUGUUCUUAGUAAAAAUAUUUGCCUUCAAAUAAUUGAUGGAUUUACUUUUUUGUGUACUUUGUCUUUGCAAAGAAUAAAAUCAACUUCUAACAGACAA